AGGGUUUGAUCAUGGCUCAGAUUGAACGCUGGCGGUAUGCCUAACACAUGCAAGUCGAACGGUAACAGAGAGAAGCUUGCUUCUUUGCUGACGAGUGGCGGACGGGUGAGUAACGCGUGGGAAUCUACCCAGUAGUUGGGGAUAGCCCGGAGAAAUCCGGAUUAAUACCGAAUAAGGUCUACGGACGAAAAGGUGCCUCUUCUUGAAAGCACUUGCUAUUGGAUGAGCCCGCGUUAGAUUAGUUUGUUGGUGGGGUAACGGCCUACCAAGACUGCGAUCUAUAGCUGGUUUGAGAGGAUGAUCAGCCACAUUGGGACUGAGACACGGCCCAGACUCCUACGGGAGGCAGCAGUGGGGAAUAUUGGACAAUGGGCGCAAGCCUGAUCCAGCAAUACCGCGUGUGUGAAGAAGGCCUUAGGGUUGUAAAGCACUUUUAUGUAGGAAGAACGGUUUUGAGUUAAUAGCUCAAGGCUUUGACGGUACUACAAGAAUAAGCACCGGCUAACUCCGUGCCAGCAGCCGCGGUAAUACGGAGGGUGCGAGCGUUAAUCGGAAUUACUGGGCGUAAAGGGUACGUAGGCGGUCUGAUAAGUCAGAUGUGAAAUCCCCGGGCUUAACCUGGGAACUGCAUUUGAAACUGUCAUACUAGAGUGAGUGAGAGGUUAGUGGAAUUCAAGGCGUAGCGGUGAAAUGCGUAGAGGUCUUGAGGAACAUCAGUGGCGAAGGCGACUAACUGGCACUACACUGACGC
rnacentral:rRNA from 1 species